rnacentral:rRNA from 1 species
AAGCGGCAAAAGCUCAAAUUUGAAAUCGGCCUCCAGGUCGAGUUGUAAUUUGUAGAUUGUAUUUUGAGAGCGGAUUAAAGUCUGUUGGAACACAGCGCCUUAGAGGGUGACAGCCCCGUAAAAUCUAUUCUCAUUGUAAGAUACUUUCGAAGAGUCGAGUUGUUUGGGAAUGCAGCUCUAAGUGGGAGGUAAAUUCCUUCUAAAGCUAAAUAUUGACGAGAGACCGAUAGCGAACAAGUACUGUGAAGGAAAGAUGAAAAGCACUUUGAAAAGAGAGUGAAAAAGUACGUGAAAUUGUUAAAAGGGAAGGGUAUUGAAUCAGACUUGGUGCUGUUGUUCAACUGUGUUUCGGCAUAGUGUACUCAGCAGUACUAGGCCAAGGUGGGGUGUUUGGGAGUGAAAAAGAAGUAGGAACGUAACUCUUCGGAGUGUUAUAGGCUACUUUCAUAGCUCCUUAGGCGCCUCAGGACUGCGCUUCGGCAAGGACCUUGGCAUAAUGAUUCUAUACCGCCCGUCUUGAAACACGGACCAAGGAGUCUAACGUCUAUGCGAGUGUUUGGGUGUAAAACCCGUACGCGUAAUGAAAGUGAACGUAGAUAGGAGCAGUAAUGCGCACUAUCGACCGAUCCUGAAGUUUUCAGAUGGAUUUGAGUAAGAGCAUAGCUGUUGGGACCCGAAAGAUGGUGAACUAUGCCUGAAUAGGGUGAAGCCAGAGGAAACUCUGGUGGAGGCUCGUAGCGGUUCUGACGUGCAAAUCGAUCGUCGAAUUUGGG